rnacentral:lncRNA from 1 species
UUUGAGGAUCCUAAUGGUCGAGUGCAUCGAGUCACCUGUGGUGAGUGACAUCUUGGAAAAGCAUUGCUUGUACAUCAUUUGUCUUAUCGAAAAUUAGCCUUCAGCUUCUUGUGGAUAAACGUUAAUGUUGUAAUUUUUCUUUCCUACCUAUUCUUUUAUUCUUGGAAAAACUUUGUAUCACCUCUCCCUUUUCUGUAGGAGCAGAAAAUCUAGAUGAACUUGUAUCUGCUAUCAUGGAAAGGGUCAGUAAUAAUGACAGAUCACGCCCCGUAAUUUUGGUAUGUCUUCUUCUAGUUCAGUUCUCUUCCUUUUGAUUGUAAGCUCAUGUAUUCAUUAUGUUGCCCCUUUUUUCUUUCCUUCUAGUAUGAUGAUGAUGAAGGUGAUAAAAUUGUUAUUGCAAACGAUAGUGAUCUCGUAUCUGCUGUCAGCUAUGCUCGAUCUGCAGGACUGAAGGUGAAGAUUCUGCUUUUACAAGCUAUUGUCUCGGUUUCCAUGGUUUAAUUCUUAUUUGGUGUAUGCAUUUAAGCAUCUUUAUAUUUCAGGCCUUGAAGUUGGAUUUGGAGUUUACAGAUUCAGCUAAACCCGUGACACCAGAGUCUGCAAUAGCCAUGACCACAACCACAGCUACAAGACGGAAAACAGGUGGUGGCAUGUUGUCCAUUCGCUCGAGUAUUUUUGCAGGUGCUGUUGUUCUAACGAGCAUUGGCGUGGUGGCUUACUUGAAGCGCUCAAAUCAGUGAUUUCUUCACCAGUUGGAAAACACAACAGGCAGUAAAAAUCAUACUGGAUAAACUCCUUAGCUUUAUUGUCACUUAAAUCUUCAUUCAUUGCAGCAAGGUGAUGUGAAAGUUCUCCUCUAUAUUUUGUAGUUGUUUUAGCCAAUGCUUGUGAGGGUUGUUUGGUUUUGCAUAUAUUUUUAAGAGAUAUGUUACGUGUACGUAUUAAGUGUCAGACAUUGUGUCGACUCAUUUCUCGUAGAUGGGAUGUGAGACGGCACGACGUUUAACACGUAAUACGUUACAUGGAACACUUUUCUAUUUCUGACUCCAAUGUAAUUGUUAGUUACCUGUUACCACUUCUGCUUGCAAGUGAAAAUAUGUAAAAGAUAAAACCGUGGCAUGAAUACUCAAAUGUCAUAGUAUUCAACACUUGCAAUUCCUGAAAUAUGUGAACUAACAUCAUUGAGGAUUAUAAUUAUCCUCCAAGUUUUGUGAUCGGUGUAUUACCAUGUAAUGUAGGCAGAGUUUUUCGUUCAUUUUUUUUUCUCCAGUUAUAGAAUAUGCAAUGGUAGAUCUUAAAAAAAAGUAGCUUGCACACACUAAGUAUAAAUAAAUCUUUUUUAUUUAUCAAAUGAAGUGCUUCUGUCCAAAAAACUAUAUCAAAUGAGGUCUUAAUUUUUUUAUUUAUUUUUAUGACACAAUUCUAAAAAGAAGAAUGUAAGAGGGUCAUCAAAAUUUAUUGUUUUUGACUAUGAGUUAAUUAUUAAUAUUUUAAAAUAUAGAAUAAAAUAUAUUAUUGAAUUAUUAAAUUAAAACUAAAAAAAUUAGACUAAAAUAAUUAUUUUGAUGAACAAGUGGGUACACAUUGCUCGGUAUUAGGAGCUGAUUUGCUUUUCUUCUUCAUUAUUCCCUUUGUCACUUAUUUUUUAUUAGGUAAUGACUUCAAACCCUGAACAUGCAUCAUUAGAGACAACAAUUCUUGAUGCACUCCAUAUGAUGCAUGAUGGGAAGUUCUUACAUCUUCCAGUGGUGGACAAAGGUAAAUUUGCUUUUUCAAAUGCAUACAUAAUCUCUCUACUCUUUUUCCUUUUUUUUGGCAUCGAGUAUUAUUUGUUUUUUGCAGACGGCAACAUUGCUGCUUGUUUGGAUGUUUUGCAAAUAACAACUGCUGCAAUUUCUCUGGUAAAUUUUAUGUUUUAAAUACUCGUAAAAUGUUGAAUAAUGGACUACUCUGUUAUCAAGCAUCAAUUUUAACUCCUUAGCUUUUAACUUUUGAAGAAAAUUUUUUCUACCCUCUACUUGGAUGGCAUAUCUUAUAAUUUUUCCCGCUGAAAGGAUUAUUCUGGAGUUUGUCUUAAAUUCUUCAAAUUUUGUCUUUCUUUUUUUGUUCCUAAUUAAAUGAUAAAAGUUGUCUACAUAUAUUAUCCAACUGUGUUUUCCGUAGUCAUUGAAUUUGAUUGAAGGAAUUGAAGUAUUGAUAAAGUAUUUGUGCCUUCUAGAUGCAAUGGUAUUCAUGUAUAUGAUUGUUUCCAUCUAUAUUUGGACUAUUGCUGAAUGUUAGCUGUUACCCUUCCCCGAACGAUCAGAAUAUUGCUGCAAGUUAGCUUUUCAUUAUUCUUCUUGCAUAUUUUCUUGAUAAUUCUUUUUGGAACUGUUGGCUAUGUACUUACCUGACAUACAGUGAAUAUUGUUUAUUAAGCUUUGUAUACACCUUUGUAUCUAAAUUUGCUAUUAUCAUGCAGAUUGUGGUGUCUUGUUACUAAGCUAUUUAUAUGUAAUUUGUAGGUUGAAAGUAGCUCUGGAACUGUAAAUGAUAUGGCAAACUCAAUUAUGCAAAAAUUUUGGGACUCAGCUUUAGCGCUAGAGCCACCAGAUGAUUAUGACACUCAGAGGUACUUUGGUUGUAGCUAUUUUACUUCAGUAUACAAUUUUUUUUGGCCAUUUAACAAGCAUUUAUGUUUGGUCGCAGUGAAGUUUCCGGGAUAAUGAAUUCAGAUGGAGCAGAUACUGCAAAGUCUACAUACCAAACUGUAGGUCAUGGAAAUUCAUUUACUUUUAAAUUUGAGGAUCCUAAUGGUCGAGUGCAUCGAGUCACCUGUGGUGAGUGACAUCUUGGAAAAGCAUUGCUAGUACAUCAUUUGUCUUAUCGAAAAUUAGCCUUCAGCUUCUUGUGGAUAAACGUUAAUGUUGUAAUUUUUCUUUCCUACCUAUUCUUUUAUUCUUGGAAAAACUUUGUAUCACCUCUCCCUUUUCUGUAGGAGCGGAAAAUCUAGAUGAGCUUGUAUCUGCUAUCAUGGAAAGGGUCAGUAAUAAUGACAGAUCACGC